GCCUCCUUUCAGGUCACU
rnacentral:miRNA from 1 species